rnacentral:rRNA from 1 species
GAUGAACGCUAGCGAGACGCUUAACACAUGCAAGUCGAAUGUUGCAGUAAUGCGACAUGGCAGACGGGUGAGUAACACGUGCUUAAUUUACCCCGGAGUGGGGGACAACAUCGGAAACGGUGAUAAUCCCGCAUGCGUUCCAUUAAAUGAAAAUAUAUGGAAGAAAGAUUUAUCGCUCUGGGAGAAGGGCGCGGCUGACUAGUUAGUUGGUGAGGUAAUGGCUCACCAAGGCGACGAUCAGUAGCUGGUUUGAGAGAAUGACCAGCCACACUGGGACUGAGACACGGCCCAGACUCCUACGGGAGGCAGCAGUGGGGAAUAUUGGACAAUGGGCGCAAGCCUGAUCCAGCCAUGCCGCGUGAGUGAUGAAGGCCUUAGGGUUGUAAAGCUCUUUUAGCAGAGACGAUAAUGACGGUACCUGCAGAAAAAGCCCCGGCCAACUUCGUGCCAGCAGCCGCGGUAAU